rnacentral:rRNA from 1 species
AGUGAACGCUGGCGGUAGGCCUAACACAUGCAAGUCGAACGGCAGCACAGUAAGAGCUUGCUCUUACGGGUGGCGAGUGGCGGACGGGUGCGGAAUACAUCGGAAUCUACUUUUUCGUGGGGGAUAACGUAGGGAAACUUACGCUAAUACCGCAUACGACCUACGGGUGAAAGCAGGGGAUCUUCGGACCUUGCGCGAUUGAAUGAGCCGAUGUCGGAUUAGCUAGUUGGCGGGGUAAAGGCCCACCAAGGCGACGAUCCGUGGCUGGUCUGAGAGGAUGAUCAGCCACACUGGAACUGAGACACGGUCCAGACUCCUACGGGAGGCAGCAGUGGGGAAUAUUGGACAAUGGGCGCAAGCCUGAUCCAGCCAUACCGCGUGGGUGAAGAAGGCCUUCGGGUUGUAAAGCCCUUUUGUUGGGAAAGAAAAGCAGCAGGUUAAUACCCCGCUGUUCUGACGGUACCCAAAGAAUAAGCACCGGCUAACUUCGUG